CCUACGGGAGGCAGCAGUGGGGAAUAUUGGACAAUGGGCGAGAGCCUGAUCCAGCAAUGCCGCGUGAGUGAUGAAGGCCUUAGGGUCGUAAAGCUCUUUUACCCGGGAUGAUAAUGACAGUACCGGGAGAAUAAGCCCCGGCUAACUCCGUGCCAGCAGCCGCGGUAAUACGGAGGGGGCUAGCGUUGUUCGGAAUUACUGGGCGUAAAGCGUGCGUAGGCGGUUAUUCAAGUCAGAGGUGAAAGCCCGGGGCUCAACCCCGGAACGGCCUUUGAAACUAGGUAGCUAGAAUCUUGGAGAGGUCAGUGGAAUUCCGAGUGUAGAGGUGAAAUUCGUAGAUAUUCGGAAGAACACCAGUGGCGAAGGCGACUGACUGGACAAGUAUUGACGCUGAGGCACGAAAGCGUGGGGAGCAAACAGGAUUAGAUACCCUGGUAGUCCACGCCGUAAACGAUGAUAACUAGCUGUUCGGGUACUUGGUAUCUGAGUGGCGCAGCUAACGCAUUAAGUUAUCCGCCUGGGGAUACGGUCGCAAGAUUAAAACUCAAAUGAAUUGACGG
rnacentral:rRNA from 1 species